GAUGAACGCUGACGGCGUGCCUAAUACAUGCAAGUCGAGCGAACAGACGAGGAGCUUGCUCCUCUGACGUUAGCGGCGGACGGGUGAGUAACACGUGGAUAACCUACCUAUAAGACUGGGAUAACUUCGGGAAACCGGAGCUAAUACCGGAUAAUAUAUUGAACCGCAUGGUUCAAUAGUGAAAGACGGUUUUGCUGUCACUUAUAGAUGGAUCCGCGCCGCAUUAGCUAGUUGGUAAGGUAACGGCUUACCAAGGCGACGAUGCGUAGCCGACCUGAGAGGGUGAUCGGCCACACUGGAACUGAGACACGGUCCAGACUCCUACGGGAGGCAGCAGUAGGGAAUCUUCCGCAAUGGGCGAAAGCCUGACGAAGCAACGCCGCGUGAGUGAUGAAGGUCUUCGGAUCGUAAAACUCUGUUAUUAGGGAAGAACAAAUGUGUAAGUAACUAUGCACGUCUUGACGGUACCUAAUCAGAAAGCCACGGCUAACUACGUG
rnacentral:rRNA from 1 species